GGGUUUUGGUUUUUCGUUCAAAAGUUUGUUGAGAAUACCAUAGUGUUGUGGGGUAAGAGGUGAAGCUUUGGCCAGAAGAAAGUGAGGGAUUGGAACCUUAUUGGUGACUCGAGCGUUCCAAUAGCGAAUGAGAGAGGCUUUGGGGCUGAAUGGGUUUAUGCGCUCGCGUGUUUGAAGCAGAGGUGUGUAAUUACUUGCCAGAGAAACCUGCAUUUGUGGAACAAAAGUUACAGAACAUGGAAACAAAACAAAACAGAGCAAUGCAAUGCAAUGCAAUGUGAUGAGAGCGACAAGAAGAAGCAGAAGAAGAAGUGGAUGAUCAUUUUGAAGGUGUGAGAGCGUGUUGCGUGGGGAGUGGAGAGAAACUAGACAGUGAUAUAGAAGAAGAAAAAUAGAGGGGCCAUUGAUCGCUUGGAGCCGGGGGACAAUAAAUUUGUGGUCUCCCCAGACACAGUUUGCUUUUCUCUGCGCGAACAUGGUAUCAAUGACUAGGUUGUGGAAGAUAAAGGCCGACUCUAGAAAGUGUUUGUCCUUGACUUUUGUUAAUCGUCAUUGCAAAGCAUAACGAUAUCGGAAACUGUCUUCUUUGAAAUUUGAAAGGCAACCCAGAAUCAGAUGGCACUAAAUCCAUUCUUGGUAUAAAAAUCCUGUCACCAAUGUUUUUUCCAGUAAUUAUAGUUGCAUAGAUUACAUUCUUGCCUAAAUGGUUGACUUGCAAUCUUGUGCCAUUGCAUAGACCUUUCGCUUGAUCAAUGUUUCUCAAGAGCAUAAUUGGAACACUUGUUUUCAACUUCAGUUUAUGAUUUG